rfam:Hafnia alvei FB1, complete genome.
UCAGAUCUCUAUCGUUUCUUACGGUAAAGAAAAACCAGCAGUACUGGGCCACGACGAAGCAGCCUAUGCUAAAAACCGUCGUGCCGUACUGGUUUACUAAUAGUUAGUAAGACGAGUAUCGCAUGAGCAGUAACUUCAGACUUCACUUGUUG